CCGUGCAGCCGGGGAAUUAGCGGUGCCCUGUACCUACAAUCCGCUAUAGUAGGGGUGAUAUUCUGCAGAGGGUCUGAUUUGUUAUGGCUGCCCUAGAUAAGUGGCGUUGAUAUCUGGGUCUUGCGCAAUAGAAAUCUAUGAACCGUGUCAGGUCAGGAAUGAAGCAGCACUAAAUGGAAUCUUCUAUGUGCCGCGAGGGUGCCUGGGUUGAGUUAACUGUUUAGGUAACGCAUAGCAAAGACGAUUCGAAGCAGAAUGCACGG
rnacentral:SRP_RNA from 1 species